rnacentral:rRNA from 1 species
UACGUAGGGUGCGAGCGUUAAUCGGAAUUACUGGGCGUAAAGCGUGCGCAGGCGGUUUUGUAAGCCAGAUGUGAAAUCCCCGGGCUUAACCUGGGAAUGGCAUUUGGGACUGCAAGGCUGGAGUGUGGCAGAGGAGACUGGAAUUCCUGGUGUAGCAGUGAAAUGCGUAGAUAUCAGGAGGAAUACCGAUGGCGAAGGCAGGUCUCUGGGCUGACACUGACGCUCAUGCACGAAGCG